GUUGAAACACCGUUUUCCGUACGAUCUCCGAAGUUAAGCAACGUCGUGCCUGGUCAGCACAUAGACUGGUGACCGCUGGGGAAACCAGCUGCCGUAA